GCCUGGCUGGCUCAGUCACUGGAGCAUGUGAAUCUUGAUCUUGGAGUUGUGAGUUCGAGUCUCAUGUUGGGUG
rnacentral:tRNA from 1 species